rnacentral:tRNA from 1 species
GGGGUUGUGGCUCAGCGGUAGAGUGCUCGCCUAGCAUGUGUGAGGCCCUGGGUUCGAUUCUCAGCACCA